UGGCAUUAGUGCGUCCAGAUGGGUCA
rnacentral:piRNA from 1 species